AGAAGAUAGACGUAAGUCUUCAUCAGAUCGUAAGAGCCUAGAUGGGACAUACUUGUGUAUAAAGGAGGAUAGAUAGGUGGGAGCAGCAUUAUGUAGAGAUUUGAAAGCAAGAAACAGAAUUUUAAAUUGAGCUCUAUAUUUUAUAGGAAGCCAAUGUAGGGACUUACAGAAGGGUGAGGCAUGGGAGGUGCGGGCGGACAGGAAGAUGAGCCUCGCUGCCGCAUUCAUUAUGGACUGUAACGGCACAAGUUGGGAGCACGUAAGACCACUGAGAAGCGGAUUACAGUAGUCAAGGCGAGAAAGGACAGUGGAAUGGACCAACACCUUAGUCGCACCUGGCGUUAACUAGGGGCGGAUGCGCGCAAUGUUUUUGAGAUGGAAAUGACAGGAUUUGGCGAUAGAUUAAACAUGAG